CAAGAAAUAGUUUAUGUAAAAUAUUAACUUUGGGAGUUAUUGAAAAGGAAAGAUCUUUUUUCUUGA
rnacentral:tRNA from 1 species